AUUGAACGCUGGCGGCAUGCUUUACACAUGCAAGUCGAACGGCAGCGCGGGGCAACCUGGCGGCGAGUGGCGAACGGGUGAGUAAUAUAUCGGAACGUACCCAAGAGUGGGGGAUAACGUAGCGAAAGUUACGCUAAUACCGCAUACGAUCUAAGGAUGAAAGUGGGGGAUCGCAAGACCUCAUGCUCCUGGAGCGGCCGAUAUCUGAUUAGCUAGUUGGUAGGGUAAAGGCCUACCAAGGCUACGAUCAGUAGCUGGUCUGAGAGGACGACCAGCCACACUGGAACUGAGACACGGUCCAGACUCCUACGGGAGGCAGCAGUGGGGAAUUUUGGACAAUGGGCGCAAGCCUGAUCCAGCAAUGCCGCGUGAGUGAAGAAGGCCUUCGGGUUGUAAAGCUCUUUUGUCAGGGAAGAAACGGCUCCAGCUAAUAUCUGGGGCUAAUGACGGUACCUGAAGAAUAAGCACCGGCUAACUACGUGCCAGCAGCCGCAGUAAUACGUAGGGUGCAAGCGUUAAUCGGAAUUACUGGGCGUAAAGCGUGCGCAGGCGGUUUUGUAAGUCUGUCGUGAAAGCCCCGGGCUCAACCUGGGAAUUGCGAUGGAGACUGCAAGGCUUGAAUCUGGCAGAGGGGGGUAGAAUUCCACGUGUAGCAGUGAAAUGCGUAGAGAUGUGGAGGAACACCGAUGGCGAAGGCAGCCCCCUGGGUCAAGAUUGACGCUCAUGCACGAAAGCGUGGGGAGCAAACAGGAUUAGAUACCCUGGUAGUCCACGCCCUAAACGAUGUCUACUAGUUGUCGGGUUUUAAUUAACUUGGUAACGCAGCUAACGCGUGAAGUAGACCGCCUGGGGAGUACGGUCGCAAGAUUAAAACUCAAAGGAAUUGACGGGGACCCGCACAAGCGGUGGAUGAUGUGGAUUAAUUCGAUGCAACGCGAAAAACCUUACCUACCCUUGACAUGUACGGAAGCCACGAGAGAUCGAGGUGUGCUCGAAAGAGAACCGUAACACAGGUGCUGCAUGGCUGUCGUCAGCUCGUGUCGUGAGAUGUUGGGUUAAGUCCCGCAACGAGCGCAACCCUUGUCAUUAGUUGCUACAUUUAGUUGAGCACUCUAAUGAGACUGCCGGUGACAAACCGGAGGAAGGUGGGGAUGACGUCAAGUCCUCAUGGCCCUUAUGGGUAGGGCUUCACACGUCAUACAAUGGUACAUACAGAGGGCCGCCAACCCGCGAGGGGGAGCUAAUCCCAGAAAGUGUAUCGUAGUCCGGAUCGCAGUCUGCAACUCGACUGCGUGAAGUUGGAAUCGCUAGUAAUCGCGGAUCAGCAUGUCGCGGUGAAUACGUUCCCGGGUCU
rnacentral:rRNA from 1 species